CCUACGGGAGGCUGCAGUGGGGAAUAUUGGGCAAUGGACGCAAGUCUGACCCAGCAACGCCGCGUGAAGGAAGAAGGUUUUCGGGUUGUAAACUUCUUUUAAGGGGGAAGAGAAGAAGACGGUACCCCUUGAACAAGCCACGGCUCACUACGGGCCAGCAGCUGCGGUAAUACGUAGGUGGCAAGUGUUGUCCGGAUUUACUGGGUGUAAAGGGCGUGUAGCCGGGGAGACAAGUCAGAGGUGAAUUCCGCGGGCUCAACCUGCGAACUGCAUUUGAAACUGUGUCCCUUGAGUAUCGGAGAGGUCAUCGGAAUUCGUAGUGUAGCGGUGAAAUGCGUAGAUAUUAGGAAGAACACCGGUGGCGAAGGCGGAUGACUGGACGACAACUGACGGUGAGGCGCGAAAGCGUGGGGAGCGAACAGGAUUAGAUACCCUGGUAGUC
rnacentral:rRNA from 1 species